UACGUAGGGUGCGAGCGUUAAUCGGAAUUACUGGGCGUAAAGCGUGCGCAGGCGGUUCGUCGUGUCCGAUGUGAAAGCCCCGGGCUCAACCUGGGAAUGGCAUUGGAAACUGGCGGACUCGAGUGUGGCAGAGGGGGGCGGAAUUCCGCGUGUAGCAGUGAAAUGCGUAGAGAUGCGGAGGAACACCGAUGGCGAAGGCAGCCCCCUGGGCUAACACUGACGCUCAGGCACGAAAGCGUGGGGAGCAAACAGG
rnacentral:rRNA from 1 species